AACGAACGCUGGCGGCAUGCCUAUCGCAUGCAAGUCGAACGAGACCUUCGGGUCUAGUGGCGCACGGGUGCGUAACGCGUGGGAACCUGCCCUUAGGUUCGGAAUAACUCCCCGAAAGGGGUGCUAAUACCGGAUAAUGUCUUCGGACCAAAGAUUUAUCGCCUUUGGAUGGGCCCGCGUUGGAUUAGCUAGUUGGUAGGGUAAAAGCCUACCAAGGCGACGAUCCAUAGCUGGUCUGAGAGGAUGAUCAGCCACACUGGGACUGAGACACGGCCCAGACUCCUACGGGAGGCAGCAGUGGGGAAUAUUGGACAAUGGGCGAAAGCCUGAUCCAGCAAUGCCGCGUGAGUGAUGAAGGCCUUAGGGUUGUAAAGCUCUUUUACCCGGGAUGAUAAUGACAGUACCGGGAGAAUAAGCUCCGGCUAACUCCGUG
rnacentral:rRNA from 1 species